rnacentral:tRNA from 1 species
ACUCUGUAGCUCAGUUGGUUAGAGCGUUGCACCGGAAUUUCAGGGCCACAGGUUAGAUUCCUGUCACAGAGCA